rnacentral:rRNA from 1 species
GGCGGCGUGCCUAACACAUGCAAGUCGAACGAGAAAGUGGAGCAAUCCAUGAGUAAAGUGGCGACCGGGUGAGUAACACGUGACUAACCUACCUUCGAGUGGGGGAUAACCUCGGGAAACCGGGGCUAAUACCGCAUAACAUCCUUGAAGUGGAAACUUUGGGGAUCAAAGGAGCAAUUCGCUUGAAGAGGGGGUCGCGGCUGAUUAGCUAGUUGGCGGGGUAAUGGCCCACCAAGGCUUUGAUCGGUAGCCGGCCUGAGAGGGCGCACGGCCACACUGGAACUGAAACACGGUCCAGACUCCUACGGGAGGCAGCAGUGGGGAAUUUUGCGCAAUGGGGGAAACCCUGACGCAGCAACGCCGCGUGGAGGAUGAAGUCCCUUGGGACGUAAACUCCUUUCGACCGGGAAGAUUAUGACGGUACCGGUGGAAGAAGCCCCGGCUAACUUCGUGCCAGCAGCCGCGGUAAUACGAGGGGGGCAAGCGUUGUUCGGAAUUAUUGGGCGUAAAGGGCGCGUA